GUUUGAGUAGCUCAGCUGGAUAGAGCGUCCGCCUCCUAAGCGGAAGGCCGUGGGUUCGAAUCCCAUCUCGAACA
rnacentral:tRNA from 5 species